AUAAAAAAAUUACACAAAUCAUCCACGGCAUCAAAUUAGCCCGUCUUCCUCCUCUGCCUCAAAAUUCCUACGCCGCCUCUCCAUGCCCUACAGCCUCUCGUCCCAGAUCUCAACGUUCCAUCCCUGCUACAAUCCAAUCUAUGUGUGUUCUUUUUAUUUGGAAAAGGUUGCAUCGCAAGAGCAUCCGAGAGGUGGAGAAGGGGAGCAAGGGGUGAAGGUGGUUCGAUCGGGGCUGCUGGUGCUGCGGUACCAUGGCAGGGGUUGGGGAGGCGCCAUUGGGCAGCCGGAGAAGCUCGAGAAGCUCCAUGGUGCGAGGGCCGCGGUGGGGCGAGCAGAUGGGCAGCCGGCGAGGCGCACGGGAGGCAGCAAUGCCUUGGACGGCUGCAGAGGAGAUAGGCCAUGAGGGAGGAGGAGCUGAGGCAGAACAACAGUGUGCCAUGGAGCCGCGGCAUGCUGCCUUGGUGGAAGUCGGCCGCUGCAGUGGUUGGGCCUGCCCUUCUCCACCUUGGCUGUAAAGUCUCACCAAGAAAAAGAAUUGGUACUGUACAUUUUUUCACAUCACAGCUCUUACCAGAUUAUGAAUUAUAGGAUGUGAAGGAGAACCAGCCAGCUGAGAUAAUCUGCAUGACAUCUGAUGCCAACUUGCAGCGCUGUGUAAAUAUAGAAAUCAACCACUCUCAGCCAAAUUUGUUUGAUGUUUAUAUAAACUUUAUAUGGAAAGGAUUUGGAGAUUGCAUGUUUUUCUUUGAAUAUGUGCCAACUCUCAGAUUAUCUGCAUUUUGACAAACAAUUCUUUUAUCCAGGAUUAAGAAUCAUAUCUUAUAGAGUGUACAAUAUUUUCUUGGUAGAUUUGUAAGAUUUAAGUAUUGCUGGUUGUGCAAAAAAAUAGCUUCAUGUAUGUAUUAUGGAGUUACACAUGUUUCUGUGUCUGGUUUCUUUGUUGUAUUGGGAACAGAUCUAGAUAGAUGAUAUUUUUAAUACAAAACAUCCAUAUUAGUUUUUUUGCAUCUGUGUAACCAUGGAAUCCAUAAUAUCAUUGUUUGUUUUUAAUAACAUGUGUGAUCCUUCCUUUGCAGUUACAAUGUCCAGAUAUCAUAGUUGCCUCUUAUAGAAAAUAUGCUAAAGAAUUUUUAGAUACACUUUCAGAGUGCCCUCACAGUGAAUUUCAUGCUUAUUGUAGUGGGUUUUGCAUAAUGAUAAAUCUGCUCUAAAAAUAGUUGAUUUAUGUUGUCCCAUUAUGCGCAGCAUAAUAUUUACGCAUGCCUCUAGAGCUACACUUAUAGAAAAUAUGCUAAAUAAUUUUUAGAUACACUUCUAGAGUGCCAUCACAGUGAAUUUCAUGCUUAUUGUAGUGGGUUUUGCAUAAUGAUAAAUCUGCUCUAAAAAUAGUUUAUUUAUGUUGUCCCAUUAUGCGCAGCAUAAUAUUUACGCAUGCCUCUAGAGCUACUUCAUCGAACAGUAAUCUGCGGUCUUCACUAGCAUAGAACAAGAAAUUCUCUAAUGAAGCUUACACAAUAGCAUAACAUUGUAUGCAGAUGAAAAGUUUGAUUUAAAAUGGCUUUAGCCACUGCCAAUUCCAAUAUGGUCACUUAAGUUGCUUCUGGCGUUGAAAGUUUGACAUGAGUCCUAACUUCUACAGGUAAGGAAUUGAUUUGCCUCUUGAUAGGUUUCUAUCUCUUUGGGUUUAUCUUUCCGUUGCAACAAAAUUGCAUUAUUAUUUUCUGCAAAUCAAAGUUGAAAUCCGUGGUUUCUCUAUGCUGGUAAAAAAUAAAGCAGUGUUAUUGAUAUUCCCCAUCUCUUUUCGUAAUGCAAUGUGCAUAUUAUCUUCACUAAUUUAAGCAAUUUCAGUAAGACUCCUCUAUCUUCAAACCAGUCCAUGGUUUUCCUCGGCGUGACAAACUAUAAUUGGAUCAGUGUUUCAAAAGACAUGGCAUGGGCUUGAAGGAUACCGUGGAGUCGGAGGGCUUGGCAAGGGGAGGUUCCCAGGGCUAUGAACUAGCAAUUAAUUUGUAUUUUCUUUAUUAUUAUAUUUUUCGUUUGUCCUAAAUUCCACUCCCUCAGAUCCAUAUUAAUUGGUUGUACUGAGUCGGAAUGGUGAUACACUUAUCCGACGGUACAUGGUACUUCUUUAUAAACAAGGUACAAACUGUAAGAAAGCUCAUAGAAAAUUUUAAACUUAUUAGUUAGUGAUAUCGUAAUACCUGACAAAGAGGUUGCUGAGCUCAGCCAUGGGUGGCACUACUCAGUAUCUAUUUUUCAGUAGUGAAGCUACCACUAUUUUUUGUUUUUAGUUUGAAAACUCCAAAUUCCCUAGAACAUAUUUUAUUUAUUAUCAUAUUUUUUGUUUGUGCUAAAUACUGCUCCCUCCGAUCCAACAUAAGUGUCGUAGUUUUAGUACUUGAUUCAUGUUUCUUGCUUUCCACUGUUUGUAAUAUGAAGCAAACACCUGACGUGUUUAUGUUGCUUGAAUAUUUCAGACCGAGAUAAAAGUAAAAUCAAGUGUGGUUCACAGUACUUUUGGAUGGUUGCAGCUAAAAUGAUAGCUUGACUGUGUAGACUACUUCAAGAAUUUCUGACCGCCCAAUGUUGUUUAUAAACAAUAGAGACUCAGUGGCCUAUACACAACUCUUUCAGGUUGUUCCCGCAAAAAAAACUCUUUUCAGGUUGUUCAACCUCGCCUAAUCUAAUAGAAUCUUUUUGAAUUAUGUUUUGGCCAAAAUUACUAUAUAGGAGUAUGGUUUAUCUUUGCCUCUUUCAUACACAUUCCUUCUGCAUGAGAAUUGAGGAGGUCAAAUAUUGACAUAAAUCUGAAUGGUGAGAUGCUACUUCUUUACAAACAGGGUACAAAUGGUAAGAAAGCUCUUACAAAGUGUUAAACUUAUUAGUCUGUGAUAACUUAAUACCUGACAAAGAGGUUGCUGAGCUCAGUCUUAAAAAUAGAAAGAGCUAUGGGUGGUACUGCCCAGUCUCUAUUUUGUUUUCAGUAGUGGACUACCACUAUUUUUUUGUUUUCAGUGUGGAAACUCUAAUUUUUUCCCCAACACAUAUUUUCUUUAUUAUUAUAAUUUUAUUUUGUCCUAAAUACUACUUGAUUCAUAUUUCUUGCUUUCCAUUGUUUGUAAUAUGAACCAAAAUCAUCACGUGUUUAUGUUGCUUGAAUAUUUCAGACUGGGUAAGAAGCAACUACAUGCCGUUCAUAGCAAUUCUAGAUGGUCACAGCUAAAAUGAUAGCUUGGCUAUGUAGACUACUUCAAGAAUCUCUCUGACCGCCACUGUUGUUUAUAAACUACAGAGGCUCACUGCCCUAUACACAACUCUUUCAGGUUGUUCAGCCUCGCCUAAUCUAAUAGAAUCUUUUUAUAUAAUGUUUUGGCCAGAAUUACUAUAUAGGAGUAUGAUUACAGAGGCUCAGUGUCCUAUACACAACUCCUUCAGGUUGUUCCCGCAAAAAAAACUCUUUUCAGGUUGUUGAACCUCGCCUAAUCUAAUAGAAUCUUUUUGAAUUAUGUUUUGGCCAAAAUUACUAUAUAGGAGUAUGAUUUAUCUUUGCCUCUUUCGUACACAUUCCUUCUGCAUGAGAAUUCAGGAGGUCAAAUACUGACAUAAAUCGGAAUGGUGACAUGCUACUUCUUUACAAGUAGGGUACAAACGGUAAGAAAGCUCUUAGAAAUUGUUAAACUUAUUAGCCCGUGAUAACUUAAUACCUGACAAAGAGGUUGCUGAGCUCAGUCUUAAAAAUAGAAAGAGUUAGGGUGGUACUGCCCAGUCUCUAUUUUGUUUUCAGUAGUGAAGCUACCACUAUUUGUUGUUUUAAGUGUGGAAACUCUAUUUUUUCCCCAACACAUAUUUUCUUUAUUAUUAUAUUUUUAUUUUGUCCCAAAUACUACUUGAUUCAUAUUUCUUGCUUUCCAUUGUUUGUAAUAUGAACCAAAAUCGUCACGUGUUUAUGUUGCUUGAAUAUUUCAGACCGGGUUAGAAGCAAAACUACAUGCUGUUCAUAGUAAUUCUAGAUGGUCACAGCUAAAAUGAUAGCUUGGCUGUGUAGAGUACUUCAAGAAUCUCACUGACCGCCACUGUUGUUUAUAAACUACAGAGGCUCACUGCCCUAUACACAUCUCUUUCAGGUUGUUGAGCCUCGCCUAAUCUAAUAGAAUCUUUUUAUAUAAUGUUUUGGCCAGAAUUACUAUAUAGGAGUAUGAUUUAUCUUUGUAUCUUUCUUACGCAUUCCUUCUGCAUGAGAAUUGAAAAGGUGAAACAUGGGACUUCUUUACAAACAGGGUACAAACUGCGAGAAAGCUCUUAGAAAUUGGUAAACUUAUUAGUCCGUGAUAUUAUAAUACCUGACAAAGAGGUUGCUGAGCUCAGUCUUAAAAAUGGAAAGAGCCAUGGGUGGUACUGCCCAGUCUCUGUUUCGUGUUUAGUAGUGAAGCUACCACUACUAUUUUAUGUUUUCAGUGUCAAAACUCCAAUUUUUUCAAAUUGUUAGCCAGAUCCUUGAACUAUUUUGACGAACCUUUAGUAUCUAUUUUGUACGCUCAUGCAGAUUUUCGCUGGGUACAGUUGCAUCACUAUAUACGCUGGGUACAGUUGCAUCACAAUAUGGUUACCUGUUGAUAAUGCUACUACAGAAAAUAUGUGAACGCCAUCCGAGGACAGAGAAGAGGCGCUACGGACUAGGGAUUACAUGCUGGCUACCACCGAGGCACCGAAUGGAAAUAUGAGACAUGGAUUGACACGGACACAAGAGAAAGAAGAAACAAAAAUAAACAUUAUAGACCAGAUGAUGAGAACAAUGGUUUCACUCAGUGCUGCAUGCUUAGCUGAUGGAACAUACUCCUGUUACAUAGCAGGCUAAGUGAUGUUCUAGAGUACACAUGGAAAGUGACUUGAUGGAAGUCAACAACAUGGUAACAGGGUGAUUGGAUUUUGUGUUCUUUUGCAAAGUUCAUUUAUAUGAUCAUUUCAAAUCAGUUAGCAAUGACAUUCAACGUGGAAAGGAAGGAGAAAAACUUAUGAUUUCCAAGUAUAUAUGAUUUC